GUAAACGGAGAGGAUUUUGAAUAGCCUACCACACAUUUUUCUAAGAUGAAUCAGCGCAAGAUGAAAUGCUGUUUAGUCUUUGAUGAUCAUGAAAUCCCUGCAAGCUAUUUGGCAUAUGAAGGUCUCGACCUGAGAAAACCAUCGUGGAUAACCAUAACCACGGCCAGGAGAAGGGAAAAUGCAACACCUAGGAGAUUUCAGUAAACAGUAGAAUCAUGCCAACCUAAUCUGUGUUAAAAUGCUUGGAAUGUGGGAGCCGCUGAUGAUGCCUGUUGUCUGUGUGUCUGACUGAAUCCUUUCUUUUCUCAGAGCAGCAAAGCAAAGCCUGGGAACCAGGCCAAAUGCCUGCCACUUACCUUAAAUUGAUCAGCCACUUUGAGAUUAAAACCCCUGAAAGCUGCCACACCGUGAAAACAAGGCCUCCUUCACAUUAAAGGCAAAUUGCGACUUUG